GGUGAAGAACGCAGCGAAAUGCGAUGAGUAGUGUGAAUUGCAGAAUUCAGUGAAUCAUCGAAUCUUUGAACGCACAUUGCGCCCUUUGGUAUUCCAAAGGGCAUGCCUGUUCGAGCGUCAUUUGUACCCUCAAGCUUUGCUUGGUGUUGGGCGUCUUGUCUCUAGCUUUGCUGGAGACUCGCCUUAAAGUAAUUGGCAGCCGGCCUACUGGUUUCGGAGCGCAGCACAAGUCGCACUCUCUAUCAGCAAAGGUCUAGCAUCCAUUAAGCCUUUUUUUCAACUUUUGACCUCGGAUCAGGUAGGGAUACCCGCUGAACUUAAGCAUAUCAAUAAGCGGAGGA
rnacentral:misc_RNA from 1 species